rnacentral:rRNA from 1 species
AGUGAACGCUGGCGGUAGGCCUAACACAUGCAAGUCGAACGGCAGCACAGUAAGAGCUUGCUCUUACGGGUGGCGAGUGGCGGACGGGUGAGGAAUACAUCGGAAUCUACUUUUUCGUGGGGGAUAACGUAGGGAAACUUACGCUAAUACCGCAUACGACCUACGGGUGAAAGCAGGGGAUCUUCGGACCUUGCGCGAUUGAAUGAGCCGAUGUCGGAUUAGCUAGUUGGCGGGGUAAAGGCCCACCAAGGCGACGAUCCGUAGCUGGUCUGAGAGGAUGAGCCCGCCACAGGGGAAGGAAACCAGCGCCCACAUCCCUGGGGGGGGCACAGGUGGGAAUUUUGGAAAAGGGGGGGCAAGCCUGAUCCACCAAUCCGGGGGGGGUAAAAGGGCCUUUGGGUUUAAAAGCCCUUUUUUUGGGAAAAAAAAAGCAGCAGUUUAACCCCCCGCUUUUCGGAGGGUACCAAAAAAAAAGCACCCGGCUAACUUCGUG